GAUGAACGCUGGCGGCGUGCCUAAUACAUGCAAGUCGAACGAUGAAGCCGGAGCUUGCUCUGGUGAAUUAGUGGCGAACGGGUGAGUAACACGUGAGUAACCUGCCCUUGACUCUGGGAUAACUGCUAGAAAUGGUAGCUAAUACCGGAUACGACCCUCGGAGGCAUCUCCAGGGGGUGGAAAGAAUUUCGGUCAAGGAUGGACUCGCGGCCUAUCAGCUAGUUGGUGAGGUAAUGGCUCACCAAGGCGACGACGGGUAGCCGGCCUGAGAGGGUGACCGGCCACACUGGGACUGAGACGCGGCCCAGACUCCUACGGGAGGCAGCAGUGGGGAAUAUUGCACAAUGGGCGCAAGCCUGAUGCAGCAACGCCGCGUGAGGGAUGACGGCCUUCGGGUUGUAAACCUCUUUUAGCAGGGAAGAAGCGAAAGUGACGGUACCUGCAGAAAAAGCACCGGCUAACUACGUGCCAGCCGCCGCCGUAA
rnacentral:rRNA from 1 species